rnacentral:tRNA from 1 species
GGUCUAUUAGUCUAGUUGGUUAGGACGUCGGACUCUGAUUCGUCAUCAGCCCUUCCGUAAGCCCAGGUUCGAAUCCUGGAUGGAUCU